rnacentral:lncRNA from 1 species
CAAAAAAAAAAAAAAAAAAGCUAGACUCUGAAGUCAGUUUGCCAGGGUCUGUGAGUGGAAAUGUUACAAAGAAGCUUCUCAUGAAAACUUGACUCUCAAAUGAGCCAAAGGCAGUGAUGCCCAGAAAUGGAGUUGUGGUAACACUUAAAGGAAUGUAUCAGUUGUCUAUUGCUCUAUAAUGAACCCCAAAACUUAGUAGCUUCAAAUGAUUAGCUUAUUCUUUCACACGGUCUCCGUGGAUCAGGAGUCAAGGGCAACUUAAUUGGGUGCUUCUCACUUGGAGUCUCUUGUGAGACUACAGUCACCUGAGGUUUAGACUGGGGCUGGAGGACCCACUUCCCAGAUGGCUCACCCACCUGGCUGUCGGCAGGAGGCUGCAGUUCCUCUCCAUGUGGUCGUCUUCACAGGUCUGGACUUGGGAGAGGGAUCUGGACUGAAGUGGAGGAAUCCAGUACAAGUAGUGGAGCCGUCUGAAAUCUUGCAUUUCAGAAUGGAUGGGUAUAUCAUACCUUAUUUAACCAGCAUCCUAUUGUUGGACUGUUAGGUUUUUCUAUCAAAAAUAACCCUGUGAUGAGCCUCUUGAAAUUGCUGUCUUUGCAUGGAUCCACUAUAUUUCCUUUGGAUAAUUCCAAAAACGAACAAUGGGUGUGUGUGAGUUAAAGCGUUUAACUUAUUUCCAAAGUAACUUCCAUCCCCGUGUGUGAGAAGGCUCACCUGCGCCUUU